CACGUAGGCGGGUAUUUAAGUCAGGGGUGAAAUCCCAGAGCUCAACUCUGGAACUGCCUUUGAUACUGGGUACCUAGAGUAUGGAAGAGGUAAGUGGAAUUCCGAGUGUAGAGGUGAAAUUCGUAGAUAUUCGGAGGAACACCAGUGGCGAAGGCGGCUUACUGGUCCAUUACUGACGCUGGGGUGCGAAAGCGUGGGGAGCAAACAA
rnacentral:rRNA from 1 species